AUCGUUACCCGAGCCCAGCGCCGGGCCAAUGUCCUAUCUCAGGGUUUCCCACGUCGCUCGCUCCUUGACGGCUGACCGACACUGGGUCUGAGGUGUAAGCGCUUUCCAGGCCCUUCCCUGGGGCUUGGAGGGGAAUGGCGCAAAGGACUUUUCUUACAAGCAGAGCCACUGCAGUUACCAAAGAGUAUGUCGCUUAUUGUCUAAGAGGUUGGACUCCUGAAAGCCUGGACAGUGUCAUCAUCUUCACCUGAAGAGUGGAAAAAUUCAAGCAAAGAGUUUCUCAGGAAAUGACCAAGUAAAACAUCUGGAGUAAGUCAGCAGGAUUCACAGUGACUCCCCCCAACCAGCUGGUGGUGUUUCUCUCUGAAAGCAGCGCUUGGUACCAGUGUGAACUCUCUUCCUUCAGAAGUCUCAUCAGGUGGACGUAAUACGAGGGUCUGGUCCCCCAUACCUUGAGGACUCCGCUGCCAUCUGACAAUUACAGACAAUCCAAUUGUCCUCAUCCUUGAGGACUCUGCUGCCAUCUGACAAUUAGAGACAGUCCAAAACAUGCCACACUUUGAUCCUAAACACAUUCCUGGCUUUGGUCACUUUUGAAAAGUUCCUGAGUUAUGAGAAAUCAAUAAUAAGAGUGUUCAAAACCUGAACACUCUUUUUAGAAAUACCUGCUGGAACUACAUAUAUGAUUUAUGGGGUACUGUCUUGUAGUAUCUGGGAAAGUAGACCCAUCUAACCUGGAAUGAUCAUAGGCAACAAUGACCAAAAAUGGGGAUCUUUUGAUAUACCUAAAGUAAUUUAUUUGUGCACACCAUUGGAAAGAGCUGGUUUUAGAACCAGACAUGUAAAUAAGAGACUGACUUCCACUGGCACCUAAAAACUUCUAAAAGAAAUCCUGAAAGAAAAAGUCACCUUCAUUCAAGAGGAAAUUCAUAGAAUAGGACCCUGACAAGUACUCUUGAAUACAGGUUUCUGAUAACUUUGGAGAUCAUAUCAUUGGACUAAGUAACAACUUUCAGGAUAUAAUUGGAGACACUUGUUAUUUUACUAAGGAUUUGACUGGAAUGACAUAUUUUCAGAUAUGACCAGACUGCUUUGAAGAAUGGAGGUUGACUCUAUAGAGGCAAUUAGAAAGCCUCUUGGAAAGACUGGCCUGGUCCCUUGUCUACGUAGUUCCCUUUCAAGAUUUCUGUCCUGUGUUAAGUAAAGAAUGUCACUUUCUGACAGGCCUGGGAACCUCAAAAUAUUUCCGCUGUGUAUCUCUCAUUGUUUUAUUUCUUCUGAGAAAACUAAAUUCAUGGUACACUGAAGAGGUGAUUCCACAAGUGAUGGCAGCUAUAAAUCAAUGACUGGUAGGACUACCUGGGCAUGAGCCUUUCUGGCAAUGAGGGAUACCUUGACACUCAGAUUUUGAUCAUCAGUGCUUUCAAAAGGAAAGAUUUUUGAUCAAAAGGAAGAAAUGAGAAAAAGAACUUUUAUCUGAAGAAUGCAAGUCCUUUCCAAUUAUCAGAUCCAGAGAGGUAUUAAAAUGAGACGGCAAUCCUGUCCUACACACACCCCCUUUUGAGGCAUGUACUCAUCUUUUUAUACUGCUUACUAUUGCCACAAGUAGCUGAAAAUUAGCCUACUGGUGCUGCACCAGACAUUAUAACCCAUAUCCUAUAGCUUAAUAAUGGAUAGCCAAUCAACAGCUUAUGUUAUGUUAAUGUAAAUUAUUGGUAAAUAACUCAGGAACUGCCUCUUCUUUCCUUUUAAAAACCCACUUGUGGGCCGGGCGUGGUGGCUCACGCCUGUAAUCCCAGCAUUUUGGGAGGCCAAGGUGGGCGGAUCACAAGGUGAGGAGAUCAAGACCAUCCUGGAUAACACAGUGAAACCCUGUCUCUACUAAAAAUACAAAAAAUUAGCCGGGCGUGGUGGCGGGCACCUGUAGUCCCAGCUACUCGGGAGGCUGAGGCAGGAGAAAGGCGUGAACCCAGGAAGCAGAGCUUGCAGUGAGCUGACAUGGCACCACUGCACUCCAGCCCGGGCAACAGUGCGAGGCCCUGUCUC
rnacentral:lncRNA from 10 species